UUGUACAGCAAUACCACUGUGAAUACUCUUGAUUUCAUCUGAUCUUGGGAAUCUAAGCAAGGUCAGGCCUGGUUAGUACUUGGAUGUGAGAGAGGAAGGACCCAGGAAUAAA
rnacentral:rRNA from 1 species